rnacentral:rRNA from 1 species
UACGGAGGGGGCUAGCGUUGUUCGGAAUUACUGGGCGUAAAGCGCGCGUAGGCGGACCUGCAAGUCGGGGGUGAAAGCCCGAGGCUCAACCUCGGAACUGCCUUCGAUACUGCGGGUCUCGAGUCCGGGAGAGGUGAGUGGAAUUCCUAGUGUAGAGGUGAAAUUCGUAGAUAUUAGGAAGAACACCAGUGGCGAAGGCGGCUCAGCUGGCCCGGUACUGACGCGUGAGGCGCGAAAGCGUGGGGAGCAAACGGG